rnacentral:lncRNA from 1 species
AGAGUGUUCCUACCCCCACCUAGCUCCAGCUGGCUGCCCAUACAAUGGAGCACAGACCCCAGCAGGGACCCUGCCAACCUGGCUACUUGCCAGGCAGAGCGAGGGAGCAAAAUGACAGAGAUGUCCAGGUGCAGACAGCUGGCUUGGCAGAGGAGGACCGACUGAUUGACACAGAGGAAGAGGGAGGCAAGCCAUGGGCACCGUCCAGAUCCUGGGAAUCCGCCUAUGCCUAGACUCCCAGGCUGCAGCGAAGAGUCACCCUGCAUCCUUCAGGCUCCAGCAACAACUGUUUCUUGUGACUUUCUGUGGGACUCUGAGGAAUGUUGGGAUGAUAAUCACAGGAACCAAUGGCUGCCUCUGGAAAGCCCAUAAUUCUGCACAUUCAUGGAGCUUCACUCUGAUUCCAAAUCCAGAAAGACCACCAUGUCACUUAUGGAGACACUUGAAAUCCUUUCCACAUCUUCACUCAUCACGCCUGGGGUGAGAACUAGGAAUACGUGAAUAAACCAAUAACACGUUACUGAAGUCAGUUUCGAGUUUUGCCUGCUAUGAACUUAGAAACAACUCCAUUUCUCUCAGCACUAGAUGGCCUGUUCAGAGUGUAUGUGUGUGUGUGUGUGUGUCCUCAUGUGUGCAGAGACAGAAAGAGACAGAGGGAGAGAACGCAAUAUUUAGUUUUGAAGAUAUUACACUUAUAAUUAUGCUUUCAGAAGCCUGUUUCUGGGAGUACC